rnacentral:rRNA from 1 species
CAGAUUUGAUCAUGGCUCAGGAUGAACGCUAGCUACAGGCUUAACACAUGCAAGUCGAGGGGCAGCAUGGACCCAGCUUUGCUGGGUUUGAUGGCGACCGGCGCACGGGUGAGUAACGCGUAUCCAACCUGCCCUUUACUCCGGGAUAGUCUCCUGAAAGGGAGUUUAAUACCGGAUGUGUUUGUCUUUCCGCAUGGGAGCGACAAAUAAAGAUUGAUUGGUAAAGGAUGGGGAUGCGUCCCAUUAG